rnacentral:rRNA from 1 species
GCUUCAUUCAAAUAUCUUCCCUAUCAACUGUCGAUGGUAGGAUAGAGGCCUACCAUGGUUGCAACGGGUAACGGGGAAUAAGGGUUCGAUUCCGGAGAGGGAGCCUGAGAAACGGCUACCACAUCCAAGGAAGGCAGCAGGCGCGCAAAUUACCCAAUCCCGACCGGGGAGGUAGUGACAAUAAAUACUGAUACAGGGCUCUUUUGGGUCUUGUAAUUGGAAUGAGUACAAUUUAAAUCCCUUAACGAGGAACAAUUGGAGGGCAAGUCUGGUGCCAGCAGCCGCGGUAAUUCCAGCUCCAAUAGCGUAUAUUAAAGUUGUUGCAGUUAAAAAGCUCGUAGUUG